rnacentral:rRNA from 1 species
UCGGGAAUGCAGAGAUGCCGGGGGUGCCUUCGGGAACCCAGAGACAGGUGCUGCAUGGCUGUCGUCAGCCUCUUGUCGUAAGAUGUUGGGUUAAAGUCCCGCAACAGGCGCAACCCUUGUCCCUAGUUGCCAGCACUUGGGUGGGAACUCUAGGGAGACUGCCGGUGUACAAACCGGAAGAAGGUGGGGAACGUCAAGUCAUCAUGGCCCUUAUGGCCAGGGGUACACACGUGCUACAAUGGGGCGGUACAACGGUUGCGAACCCGCGAGGGGGAGCCAAUCGGAAAAGCCGGUCGUAGUUCGGAUGGAGUCUGCAAACUCUGACUCCGUGAAGUCGGAAUCUCGCUAAUAAUCGCGGAUCAACAACUGCCGGGGAAG